rnacentral:rRNA from 1 species
UACGUAGGGGGCUAGCGUUGUCCGGAAUCAUUGGGCGUAAAGAGCGUGUAGGCGGUCCGGUAAGUCCGCUGUGAAAGUCGGGGGCUCAACCCUCGAAUGCCGGUGGAUACUGUCGGGCUAGAGUGCGGUAGAGGAGAGUGGAAUUCCCGGUGUAGCAGUGAAAUGCGUAGAGAUCGGGAGGAACAUCAGUUGCGAAGGCGGCUCUCUGGACCAGCACUGACACUGAGGCACGAAAGCGUGGGGAGCAAACAGG